UGGCCACAGCAGUUUCGUGAGGUUCUUACACUUCGCCUGGCAGUGAGGCUUUGUUUGCCAACUUGGAGGACCUCAACUACAACUGAAAUUCAGUUUAUCCUAUCUACGAAACAAUUCAGCAGGCAGAACUUUUUCUAAGUGAAGACAAUAUGAUAUGGAACUUUGCUCUGCUAAAAAAUGGAUUAUGCUGACAAAUUACUGUUAAGAGUAAUGUAAAGCCCAAGGCAAAGAAGCAAGGACAUGAGUUUUGGUGGAGCGGAGGUGAAUGUACACGUGAAGAUAGGUUGCAUUUCUAGAUUAUCAGGUGAAAGAAAUCAUAGUAUCCUCCAGAAUGGCCGAGAGAUUAAGCAGAGCCCAGGACUUCAAAAGCAGCUUUGUUUUUGUAUAAUAAACUUGUGCAACACUGAGACAGUUCCUGCUCUCCUAUUAUGGACAUUCUGCUGUGGAGAAUUCCAUUCUGUGUACUUAAUUUCCCUGAGAAUCGAGCUGGAAAUGAUCUGGGUGCUUGUCUAGUCGUGGAGGUCUGGGAUGCAGAUGUUGUGCAGCAUUUCAUCCUGAAGUAUGGGAGAAAACUUAUUUUGUGGCUGGGUUGGGAGAAUAAAAUUUGUUGUGAUCAAAAGAAUAAUAAUUUCAUAUAAUUUUGGAGAAAUGACCUCCAUUUAGUAAUUGUAGGUCAUUUUUUAAUCUCUUUGAUUUCCCUACCAAACACCAGCUACACAUUUAUUUAUUCCUCCAUGGGUACACACAUACAUACACACAGACUAGAAAAUGCGGUGCGUGGAAGGGUCACAUGUG